GGGCAGUGGCUUCAUGGAGAAGCUGUUGCUGCUGGCACGGUCAUGGCUGUUGAUAUGUCGUACCGCCUUGGUUGGAUUGAUGAUUCUAUCGUGAAACGAGUACACAACAUUCUACAACAGGCUAAGUUACCCACCGCCCCACCAGAAACUAUGACUGUGGAAAUGUUCAAGGCUGUCAUGGCGGCACAUAAGCACGCAGCUGGAGGGCGGCCAAAGCGUUACCUGCUUCAA
rnacentral:misc_RNA from 1 species